AAAGGAAUAGACGGGGGCCCGCACAAGCGGCGGAGCAUGCGGAUUAAUUCGAUGCAACGCGAAGAACCUUACCAAGGCUUGACAUGCACCCAGAGCCCUCAGAGAUGGGGGUGCAUUUGGUUGGGGGUGUGCAGGUGGUGCAUGGUUGUCGUCAGCUCGUGUCGUGAGAUGUUGGGUUAAGUCCCGCAACGAGCGCAACCCUUGCCCUAUGUUGCCAGCACGUUGUGGUGGGGACUCGUGGGGGACUGCCGGGGUUAACUCGGAGGAAGGUGGGGAUGACGUCAAAUCAUCAUGCCCCUUAUGUCUUGGGCUUCACGCAUGCUACAAUGGCUGGUACAGAGGGUUGCGAUGCUGUGAGGCGGAGCGAAUCCCUUAAAGCCGGUCUCAGUUCGGAUUGGGGUCUGCAACUCGACCCCAUGAAGGUGGAGUCGCUAGUAAUCGCAGAUCAGCAACGCUGCGGUGAAUACGUUCUCGGGCCUUGUACACACCGCCCGU
rnacentral:rRNA from 1 species